UACAGAGGUCUCAAGCGUUGUUCGGAUUCACUGGGCGUAAAGGGUGCGCAGGUGGGUUUGCAAGUUCGAUGUGAAAGCCCCGGGCUUAACCCGGGAAUGGCAUUGGAUACUGCAGAUCUGGAGGAUCGGAGGGGGGACUGGAAUUCUUGGUGUAGCAGUGAAAUGCGUAGAUAUCAAGAGGAACACCAGUGGCGAAGGCGGCUCACUGGUCCGGUACUGACGCUGAUGUGCGAAAGCGUGGGGAGCAAACAGG
rnacentral:rRNA from 1 species